UACGUAGGGUGCAAGCGUUAAUCGGAAUUACUGGGCGUAAAGCGCACGUAGGCGGCGACGUAAGUCGGGUGUGAAAGCCCCGGGCUCAACCUGGGAAUUGCAUUCGAGACUGCAUUGCUGGAGUACGGAAGAGGAGGGCGGAAUUCCCGGUGUAGCGGUGAAAUGCGUAGAUAUGCGGAGGAACACCGAUGGCGAAGGCAAUCCCCUGGACCGGUACUGACGCUCAUGCACGAAAGCGUGGGGAGCAAACAGG
rnacentral:rRNA from 1 species